rnacentral:rRNA from 1 species
GAUGAACGCUGGCGGCGUGCCUAAUACAUGCAAGUCGAGCGAACAGACGAGGAGCUUGCUCCUCUGACGUUAGCGGCGGACGGGUGAGUAACACGUGGAUAACCUACCUAUAAGACUGGGAUAACUUCGGGAAACCGGAGCUAAUACCGGAUAAUAUAUUGAACCGCAUGGUUCAAUAGUGAAAGACGGUUUUGCUGUCACUUAUAGAUGGAUCCGCGCCGCAUUAGCUAGUUGGUAAGGUAACGGCUUACCAAGGCAACGAUGCGUAGCCGACCUGAGAGGGGGUACGGCCACACUGAAACUGAGACACGGCCAGACUCCUACGGGAGGCAGCAGUAGGGAAUCUUCCGCAAUGGGCGAAAGCCUGACGGAGCAACGCCGCGUGAGUGAUGAAGGUCUUCGGAUCGUAAAACUCUGUUAUUAGGGAAGAACAAAUGUGUAAGUAACUAUGCACGUCUUGACGGUACCUAAUCAGAAAGCCACGGCUAACUACGUG